rnacentral:rRNA from 1 species
GACGUAGGGGACGAGCGUUGUCCGGAUUCAUUGGGCGUAAAGCGCGCGCAGGCGGCCGUGUAAGUCGGAUGUGAAAUGCCGGGGCUCAACCCCGGAACUGCAUCCGAUACUGCACGGCUAGAGGUAGGUAGGGGAGAUCGGAAUUCCUGGUGUAGCGGUGAAAUGCGCAGAUAUCAGGAGGAACACCGGUGGCGAAGGCGGAUCUCUGGGCCUUACCUGACGCUCAGGCGCGAAAGCUAGGGGAGCGAACGGG